UACGUAGGGGGCAAGCGUUGUUCGGAAUUACUGGGCGUAAAGGGCGCGUAGGCGGCAUGGCAAGUCGGGAGUGAAAGCCCGGGGCUCAACCCCGGAACGCUUUCGAAACUGCCAAGCUAGAGUACGGAAGGGGCAACUGGAAUUCCCAGUGUAGCGGUGAAAUGCGUAGAUAUUGGGAAGAACACCGGAGGCGAAGGCGGGUUGCUGGGCCGAUACGUGACGCUGAGGCGCGAAAGCCAGGGGAGCAAACGGG
rnacentral:rRNA from 1 species